rnacentral:rRNA from 1 species
UACGAGGGGUGCAAGCGUUGCUCGGAAUUAUUGGGCGUAAAGGGUAGGUAGGUGGUCUUAUUUGUCUGAUGUGAAAUCCUUGGGCUUAACUCAAGAAGUGCGUCAGAAACGGUAAGACUAGAGUCCUGGAGAGGGUCGUGGAAUUCCCGGUGUAGCGGUGAAAUGCGUAGAGAUCGGGAGGAACACCAGAGGCGAAGGCGGCGACCUGGACAGGCACUGACACUCAACUACGAAAGCGUGGGGAGCAAACAGG